rnacentral:tRNA from 2 species
GGCCCUAUGGUCAAGCGGUUAAGACAUCGCCCUUUCACGGCGGUAACACGAGUUCGAAUCUCGUUAGGGUCA